GACGAACGCUGGCGGUGUGCUUAACACAUGCAAGUCGAACGGUAAGGCCCCUCGGGGUACACGAGUGGCGAACGGGUGAGUAACACGUGGGUGAUCUGCCCUGCACUUCGGGAUAAGCCUGGGAAACUGGGUCUAAUACCGGAUAGGACCCUGGGAUGCAUGUCCUGGGGUGGAAAGCUUUUGCGGUGUGGGAUGGGCCCGCGGCCUAUCAGCUUGUUGGUGGGGUGAUGGCCUACCAAGGCGACGACGGGUAGCCGGCCUGAGAGGGUGACCGGCCACACUGGGACUGGGAUACGGCCCAGACUCCUACGGGAGGCAGCGGUGGGGAAUAUUGCACAAUGAGCGCAAGCCUGAUGCAGCGACGCCGCGUGAGGGACGACGGCCUUCGGGUUGUAAACCUCUUUCAGCACCGACGAAGCGCAAGUGACGGUAGGUGCAGAAGAAGGACCGGCCAACUACGUGCCAGCAGCCGCAGUAA
rnacentral:rRNA from 1 species